UUAUAUUUAGUCUACAAAGUGCAGUGCCCUGUCACUGCUGAAGUUUUUGUGGCUUCAAAAGCUUCAGCCAAUGGAAUGACCUGAAUAUCCUCUCUAAACAGGGGCAUUGCAAUGCAGUUGCAUGUUCUGCCUCUUCAACUUGCUGGAGAAAAUAUGUUCCUUCCAUUAGAGAGUGAAUGCAACAUUUGGAUAUUCUGCCCAGGAGUAAAAAGUCAUCAUGCUGCAUCCCUGUUGCUUUGAAAGCACUGCUCUCAAAGAAAGAAAAACUUUCUAAAAGCAUAAAAAAAUAUGAUUUUUUUUUUUUUUUUAAUGCUACAGCCCAAGUGACACUAAUGAAUGUGUCUAGAUGGCACUUGAAAAAGCCGGAUAGGUACCACUUAAUUUAUUUCUGCUAAAACUAUCCAGAACCUGAUGUCCUGGUUAAAAUGACAGCAAGUUGAAGUAUUGGAAAACUACUUUUUUAUAAUCUGGUGCAGGUCUUACUGUCAAAAUCAGCUCUUAAUAGAAACUGAAGAGCUACCCUGCACAAUAUUAAUCAGGUGAACUUUAAAAUUUAUGAGUUAUGACUUUAAAAUACAGAGAGUUUGUAAGGACAUUUUUCUAGGGGACUGGGAUAUGGGUUUGUGUUAGAUUCUCAGCGAUUAAACCUUCUUUUUAUCUGCAUAAGAGAAAGAGCAAAGAUGGAUUUCUAUAAUUAUUCCUCUGAAAAUACAUUUUAAGCAGGAAAGAGAUAGCAAGUUAUCUUUCACUGUUUCUGCUGAUUCCCAGCUCAGAGUGUUGGCUUUGGUCAGACACUCAGAUCCAAACUGAGGUCACAAAUCCCAUUUUUAUGCCCCAACAAAUGCUUACACAACUGAAUUUUUAAUAAGGGUUUCAGAACUGGAAGGGGCAAGCCAAGCCAAAUCCCUCCAUCCCUGUAGGCACCACAUCACCUAUGCUGAUGCUUCUGGCCACAUUAGGAGUUCCCAAAUGUAAAAUAUCUCCACCCCCGUCCCCUGGCAGGGCACUGAAAUUGCUUUGGAUGAACUUGGGUAGGAUGCAGCUGCUCCUGUUAGAGCUGUGUUUCAGGAAACAGAUUCUCACUUGCUGUAUCUGCCCCAAAGUAAUGUGCUUAGCCUAAGUUCAUGAUUUAGGCUCCCUUUGUAGCUGCUGCACUGACAGAUUCAGCACCAGAAUUGCCCAUUCUGAGGCAGAGCUGUGAUGUCUCUAAUAAAGGAAGUUUAGACAUCUGGCUCAGAUUAAGCAUUCAGCUUUUAGAUAGUUAAGUUAGGUGAAAGAAAAUUCAGCUACACUAUGAGCCAGAAAAGUUGCUGACAACAAGGAUUAGGCAUGUCAAACUCAAGACAUGCAACUUAAACAAAGAAGAUCUUCUUUUGGAAGGGUUCCUACAGAAAAAAAAUACAAGAUACUGUCCUUUGUGGAGGAAGAUAGAGGGGGAAAAGCAAUAUGUGAGAGCUCUUUUCCCUGGGCAGUUAAAAUCCAGAGUCAAAGGUAAAACAAACCAUUUAUAUUUCUGUCAGCUUCCCUGGUUUAUUGUGUGCAAAAGCUUUUGGAAGUCAACAGAAAGGUCAACCAGCAGGGUGGAAAUUUUAUUAAAAAUAUUUAGGCUGGCUUUUAUUGCCAAAUAUAAAUGGAAACCAAUUAGAUAAUCAAACUAAAAGUAGGCAAAGGAGUGGCAUUAACACUCACAGAAUGUAAUGAUCAUUGCUAAGGACGGGUUUUGUCCAGUUACUUGCCUUUGGUGGUGGUGGCAGGGGGAAAUCAAUUAUGUUUCACCUUUUAACUGCCUUUUAAAGCCUUGCAAAAUUGAUUUCAUACUGCAUAAAAGAUCCAGCAAUAAAAACAAGGGAAAAGUGGAUAAUAAAGGAUAAUGUAAACGACCUGAAAAUGCUGGUCUGCAAUAAGACCCCAAAAUCCCACAAAAUAACCAGGGUGCCUUUCUACAUGGGAAAAUCGAUUAAAUGGGUACUGCUCCACUGCAGUCAUGAGUGCAGAACAAAAUUAUUGUGGCAAAGCUUUGUAUCCAUGUGGUGAGAGGUGUGAUUCCUUCAGCACAGUCCCCCCAUGGAAGACUUGGCAUUUGAAUUUGCAACAAAAGAGCAAUUAAUAUCUUCAGCUCCUGACCACACAAGUCCAAGUCACAGCAGCCAGGCCAUCACAAGGUUGUGACUGAAUCAUUGAAUCAGAGAAUGGUUUGGGUUAGAAGGAACUUAAAAGUUCAUCCAGUUCAAACCCCCUGCUCUGGGCAGGGACACCGUCCACUAGACCAGGCUGCUCAAAACCCAUCCAAACUGGCCUCAAACACUUCCAGGGAUGGGGUGUCAACUUCUCUCAUCAACCUAUUCAAGGGCUUCAUCAUGCUCACAAGAAAUAGUUUCUUCUCAGCAUCUAAUCUGAACCGACUCUUUUCCAGAUUAAAGACAUGAUACACAUUGGGUUAGUCCUCUGGAUACCCAUCUUCUGCAUUUUGUGCACAGGUAAAGGUAGCCAAGAUGAGUGAGGUUCAGGACCAGGUAGGUUCCUCCCAUCCAUCUGUGAGGCUGCUGUGACACAGUGACCCCAGGUCCAGCAGCAACACAGUUGAACGUGUCCCCAAAAAGUGCACACACAAAUGCACGCACAAACAGCCACAGAGAAGAACACAGGGAGCACCUCAUAGACUCACACAGCACUCACACAAAGAUGAACAGCACAGUCACCACAUUGCCUUCCUCCUCCCCAGCUAUCUGGGGUUGAAGUUGCUACAGGAAUAGACACAGUAGGGAUUUUUCCAGCAGCUGGUUUAAGACAGGUUUUGGAACAGCUGGCCUUGAGGUCCCAGUUCUUGCCUGAGGCUUUUACCAGGGCUCUCAGACCCCUGGUGGCUCCAGCCUGGCACCAGACCACCCAUCCUGCUCACAGGAUUGCAGCCUGUCACCUUUAUGUGCUGGCUCACAAUAGUGAGUUCACUUGCACAGGAGAAAACACCAAGAUUUAGGAGUAAAACAGAGUAGAUUGUGGUGGAGGGUUCAGCCAGACAAACAUCCAUCCUGCCCAGCUUGCCCAUGUUAUAGGUGACAAUAUAAUAUUGCUUUUCACAUUUAUAAAUUAACUUUUUGUUUCACAAGUAUUUUGAUCUAGUACAAUUUAUACUUACUUUUAAUUGCUUUCAUAUGUAUAAUCUCUCAGUUUACAUAUACACUGUAUAGUUUAUAUUAAUGGUAAUGUAAUAAAUACAUUGUGCCAUAGGCAUUAGCAAACUGUUAAAAAUAGAGACUAAAAAUACCUCUAUGUAACCAACCUAAAGAAUGGUGCAAAAACACUAAUUUUCCUCACAUUUGUGAACUGACGCAUAAGCACCCAGAGUGUGAAAUAACAGGAUAGGAACAUGGGAAGACCUUAUCUGUAGAAUAUUCUGCAGGCAGGUUAGAGGUUAAAAAUCAAACAAGAAGAGAACCUGGAAUAUCAAGUGUUUCCAAGGAAGUUUGACUAAUAAAACAUAUGGAUAUGCAUGAACCUAAGGAAUGAUACAGUAUAAAGACAAACUAUUUCAAAUCUAUGCUCUUUGGCUGUUUGCCAGGAGCACCCCAACUCUGGGCUUUUGUAUCUUUAUUCCUUAAACUUUUUUAAAAUCCUGAAGAGUUACUCUGUUUUUCACACCCAUAACUCUUUUCUGUCUAUUUUCCAACUCUUUUUCUUCCUGUUCCAUCUUGAUCCCUCCCUUCUGCUGCCUUUGCUCCUGCUAAACAUUCAAUCUUUGCACAUUCCCACAUUCUUUCUGCAUCUGUGUCCAAUAGUAAGCCCUGAUUCCUUCAGGAUCAGGACAGGAACCCCUCCAGUUUUCAGGGCACUCCUGACAAAGUGGUUUUUGUCUGACUCACCCAGCUGGACUGGACUCACUGAUUAGGUUACAGGGACUCAGACUCAUCCCUGUGUCUCUGAGUUCAGAAAGAAUGGCCCUUAAUCACAUAACGCACCAAAGAGCACAUGACAUUUCUUUCAGACCUCUUCCUGUGCUUUAUUUCUUCUUUUCACUUGCCCUUUGUUUUGUCCUCCAUUCUCUGCCUUGUCUGCCAAAUAAUAACCAGAUGUCAGCAGUUUCUGCAGCAGGGAGAAAGUUUCCAUGCUGGUUAGUCCAGAGAGGGAACUUUCCCCCUGUGCCAUGGAUCAUUGUGACAUCUAGCUUUGUCUCUUCAGCCCAUCAAGUGGUGCUGUUAACUCAUAAUGCCACAUUUUGUUGUAUCUUGGGAGCCAAGGGAAAUAUGUUUUGGCUAUUGGAAGCAUUCCCUACAACAGUAACUCAUUUAGCUGAAGACACAUCCGAGUGAAAUUGGAAAGUUGGAGAGAAGUUUGUGAAAUGUCACAGGGUGGUUUGUGUGGAUCAAUGAGAUUACCCUGGUCCCCAAACUCUGGCCUUGUGAACUGCCAUCAUAUCAGCGAGGCAGCUUGACUGGGCAAGACCCCAAUUGCACUCCCAACUUUUCCUAAAGAGCAGGAAGAGUAAGGAAAAUGUCAGUCCCUACUUUUGUUGUGAUUUGGAGCCUGGCCUGGCCUCCAGACUGGGGUAAUCCAUUCCACUCUAUUAAAGCAAAGGGAAAAUCCAUUCAAUCUCCACUGAUACAUUCCAUCCCUUUUAGAAGAAGUAGAAACUGGUUAAAUAGGAGGAUUUUUAUCUCUGUCUGAAACCAAGUUCUUAGACAAGCUUGUUAUUUUGGCCUGAGGUAGCACAAUGAAAGGUGGGUUCUGUUAUGUUUCACACUCCUUUUUUUCUUUUUCCCAGUGCUUAUAACUAUAUGGAAAUCCUAUAACAUCAUGUAGUUAAUGGCAGGAAAAAAAUAUUGGUACCAGUAGUGCUUUAAAUCAUGAGAACUCUGCUUAAACAAAUUAUCCUCUUCCACCCUUCAGAAUACAUGUGAUGCCUGAUGAAAGGUCAGAGCCAAACCUUUUAAACCAAAAUAGAAAAUAGGUUUAAAGACUGUGCAACCCUAUUCCUUUCUUAUUACUUUUGACUUGCUUUAUAGGAGACAUGAAAGAUGCGGGUCAGCUCUUCAAUCUGAGAACCUUAUCAUGUCAGAUUGCCUUUAAACCCUUUUAUUUGUGUGGAGUUAUUUAAUUUAGAUCCACCCAAGGAACAAGUUUUCAUAAGAACAGAAAAUCCUUUCUCACAAAGGCAAAUAAUCCAAGAAGACAGAGGUCAGGAAAGGACAUUAUGAGCGUUUCCAAGAGCCAGGGAAUAUGGAAGACUCCCAGAAAACCUGGUGCUGUUUGAAGCAUUCAAAGGAGUCCCACCUGAGCUCCAGCCACUGCUCCAGGAAGGAGAGUCUCCCUUGAGGAUCCACAGUCGUGUUUAGAGCCCAGUGGAGACAUCCUGGACAGCCUGGAAUACACCAGAUACAAAUGGGAAGGGAAAUUUCCUCUAUGCUACCCAAAAUAGAGAGAAUGAAUGAGCUUUGUUCAGCAUCCGUCGUGCCAGAACCCCAACCUGGCCCAGCGUUCUGAGGAUGAGAGAGUUAUAAAAGAACACAUUUUGGCUGUUGUUUACCAGAUAAUAGAAGCCGUCACGGAGAGAGGAAAUUCCGAGUGGCACUUUGCUGACAGCUCAUCUCUGGCAAGCUGUCAGGUGCAGGCUCUGUGGAGCUUCCCCCGAGCAGGAGCAGAGCCCAGCACAGCUCCAGGAGCUGUUCAGAGCGAAAUCCUGACCUGCAGGGCAGGCUCCCAUCGACCAGCCUGAUGUGUGCUAAUUGUGUACCAAAAGGAUUAAAUUAGCAAGGCAAUCGUCUGCCAUUUGCUUUUCCUCCUUC